AUGGGCAAAGCUAAAGUGUCGCCAGUACACGGCCACACAAUUCCGCGUUUAGAGUUAUGUGCAGCUGUCCUUUCCGUCGAGAUUGCAGAUACUUUGAAAGAACACCUCAAAUUAGACUCGACUUGUUUUCAUUUUUAUACUGACAGUAAGGUUGUUUUAGGUUACUUAACUAAUGAAACACGUAGAUUUUAUGUUUAUGUGAGCAACCGAGUAAACCGAAUAAGAACAUCAAGUUCUCCUAGCCAAUGGAGCUACAUUUCAACUGAUCUGAAUCCAGCAGAUGUAGCAACAAGAAGCCUUAAUACUGUAGAUUUACCCAGUUCAGUCUAUCUGCAGGGACCAACAUUCUUGAGUCAAGAUUCAGAUAUUGGAAAACAAAUGUAUCCACUUGUCGACCCAAAUGAUGAUAAAGAAGUCCGUCCGUCUGUAGUUACUAAUAAAACUGACAUUAAUGAGGAAGUAGGAUUGUCAAGCAGGUUUUCUCGGCUUGCAUCUUGGAAAAGUCUAGUGAGAGCUAUUCAGUUUCUUAAAGCCUUUAUUAGAAAGUUACAUCAAGAGAGUCCACCUUCUCGACAAGAAGUGGAACAAUUUAUCAUCAAAACAGUGCAAGAAGAGGCAUUUUCAAACGAUAUCAAUGCAAUUAGUUCCGUUGGUCAGUUACUUCCCACGUCAAAUUUAUUGUCGCUUUCACCUGUGUUAGACAAACAUAAUAUUCUUAGAGUUGGUGGACGUAUACGACAUGCAAAAACUGUUGAGCUACAUCUUCAGCCAAUAAUUAUUCCAAAGAAACAUCAUUUAGCUGUGUUACUGACGCGUCACUAUCAUGAAUUGACAUGUCAUCAAGGCAGACACAUGACUGAAGGAGCCUUGCGUUCAGGAGGCUUUUGGGUUAUAGGCAGUAAAAGGCUAGUUUCUACAAUCAUCAGACAAUGUGUCACAUGUAAGAAAUUGCGAGGUCAGUUUAAAGUACAAAAGAUGUCUGACCUUCCGGAAGAUAGACUCACUCCAGGACCUCCUUUUACCUUUGUGGGAAUCGAUACAUUUGGACCAUACCAAAUCAUCCAUAGAAAAACUAGAGGCUCAUCAAUCAAUCAGAAAAGAUGGGCAAUAUUAUUCACAUGUUUGGUUUCAAGAGCGAUACAUAUUGAAGUCAUAGAAGAAAUGAGUAGCGCCAGUUUUAUCAAUGCAUAUCGUCGUUUCAUUGCUAUCAGAGGAUCUGUUAAACUUAUUCGAUCAGAUAGAGGAACAAAUUUUGUUGGUGCAAUACAAGAUUUAGGAAUCACAGCUGAAUUCAUUGAAAAGGGCACCGUUGAUAUAAUGCUAUCACAAUACGGAACUAUAUGGAAAUUCAACCCUCCGCAUGCUUCACAUUUUGGUGGAUCAUGGGAAAGGAUGAUAGGUUUAAGCAGAAGGAUUUUAGAUUGCAUGCUCAUUCGUGAAAAAAAUAGACUCACACAUGAAAUUUUAGUUACUCUAAUGGCAGAGGUCAGUGCUAUUGUGAAUUCAAGGCCGUUAGUAUCUGUCUCUACUGACCCGGAUAACCCGGAAGUAUUAUCUCCGUCUAUGCUCUUAACACACAAGAAAGGACAGGAUGAACAAACUAUGCUACAAUUUGGAACUAAGGACAUGCUACGUAGUCAGUGGAAGAUGGUUCAAGGACUCGCAGAUGAAUUCUGGUCAAAAUGGAAUAAAGAAUAUUUACAUACACUUCAAGUAAGGAAAAAGUGGGAAUUGCCGAUAAAGGACUUAAAUAUAGGAGACAUAGUUCUCAUGAGGGACAAAGAGUUACCAAGACCACAGUGGCCGAUGGCAAUAGUAACAAAAGUUUUCCCCAGUGCCGACAUGAAAAUCCGAAAAGUGGAAAUUCGAACUAUUAGAGACAACAAACCCAGUUUAUUCAUAAGACCAAUUGUUGAACUCAUUCCUCUCGUUCUUACUGAUCCAAAAUGA
rnacentral:sRNA from 1 species